CUGUGUUAAUUUUUCCUUAUGCUUCAAAAAUUUCAAUUUCUGAUAGUGGUUCUAAUUCAUUGUUCAGGUUUUAAUAUACGAGAUCAAUGGUGUUAGUUCUUAAAUCUAGAAAUGUAUUCACGUAACUGUUAUCUUUUGGUAAACCAAGGUCUUCCAUAUACUGUGAAAGCGCUUAGCUGGUUUUUUUUUAUAUCAGACAUAUCGGGUCCUUUUAUUAUGGAGGUUGCUGAGGUUUUGGAUUGUCCUCGAUUUCUAUUUAUACGUUGGCAAACUUUCGUCAUUGAUGGGUUGUCUAUAAUUUCUGAAUUUCUGACCCCCCUUUUUCCUCUUAGGUAGAUGAAAUGUGACCAACAGAGUCAACACUACGAGCAAUUGAGUGUUUAUUCGGUAGAUAUUGGUCUAGUUCAUGUUGUUGGAAGCUGUAGAUUCAAUGUUCCUGAAGGCAUAUCACACUUUUUAUAUAGCUAUAGGUCGUUAAGAUAUUUACUGUUUGAUUUGACCCCUGCAAUGUAACGUGAUGCUACUGUAACGUGUGAGAGACGACUGAUUUUCUAGGUUGAGUAAUGUUCUGUCUGGUUCUUGACGGAUUUGAGCGUUGUAUAAAAAGUAAAAUCACAAAAAUACUGAACUCAGAGGAAAAUCAAUUCGGAAAGUCCAUAAUCACAU
rnacentral:lncRNA from 1 species